GAUCAGCUCGUAUUGCAGCUAAUUGUUCCAGAAUAUCUUGUAUGACUCUGGGGUCCAUGGUGGAUGAAGGAGUCUGGGAGUCAGUGAGGAGGUACUCUCUACCACUACGGGUGGGCAUACAGGAACUACUCUAGUUGGUAAUAUGAUAUGCAAUACUACUAAUGAACCCUAAUUGUCCAAAGGUAAUGCAGGACAACCUACUGAUGCAACCCACUAAUGCAACCUACUAUGAAUUCGGAAAUCAGCAAAUUUUUACAAAAAUAACUUAAAAUUAAAUAUUACUAAUUUGCACUUUGGUUAUUUCAGAAUUAAGGCAAGAAAUUAGUCACUAUAAGAAAUUAGGUUGCAAACACGUAUUACAGUCAUUCAAAGUCCGAAAGUAAUCUGAUCUAUGGAUGUUGAGAACUAUCCUGUCGCUAAGGUGUGCUAAUUUAAUAUUUAGAUUUUAAAUGGUGGAUAGAAUGGGUGUGGUAGUAGAUGUUCUGGGUUGUGCAGUUUGACAAUAAAAUAAGUUUCAAGAUAGGGUUGUCAUGCAAGAGAACUAGAACAUAUUUAGAUAAACAAGCCCAAAGGAGGAAGAACCUAUUACCUGUGGUGGAUACAGCCAAUCAGAAUCAUGUACUCGUGGGCUGGGGCGACGGUCGGGGCGCGGUGAGUCGGCUCGUCGGAUGGCGUGAAUCUGGUCGAGUUACAGCAACUGGGGAACCUGCUGAACCUGUCAACUUUGGGGUAUACUGUAUGGUGUGGCUAGCGGGCCUGUAAAUGAGGGAUGCUUGUGAGUUGACCCUUGAAUCAGUGGCGGGCCCUGCAGUCAGUUGGGCCGCAGGUGCAACAGUGGAUCGGGCGCAGGAAUGGGGCGCGAUGGAGCUCGAGUGAAAGAUAACACACCACCCGAGUGGAGGAGAUGGGCAGCGGCAAACGGCAAGCGGAGAUGGGCGUAGCGGCGGGGCAGUCGGACCGUGAGAAGGAGAGGACGGCGGAAGGAGGGCGGCGGGCAGCCUGUGGAGUCGGCCGGUGGUGAGGAAAAUGGGGGCGGAAGGAGGCCGUCGGCGUCAGCUCGGGCCCCGGCGGGAUGGUGGCGUCGGCUCGGGCCCCGGCGGGAUGGUGGUGUCGGUUCGGGCACCGGCGGCUCGGGCGGUGGACGACGGAGGAGAAGAGGAUGGAACGGAUCUCGGCGGCGGCAGGAGGUGGCACGGGCGGAGGCGGCAAAGGCGGAGCGACUGGUGGUGGCGCUGCAGGCUGAGCUCGGCGACGGCGGCGAAGAGGUGGCACGACGGCGGCGAGGGGAAAGGCGGAGCGGCUGGUGGUGGCGCUGCAGGUGGAGCUCGGCGACGGCGGCGAAGAAGACGGUGAAACCCUAGGGUUUCCCUUUCGGCAGAACAGAGGUUUUAGUUUUUUUUUUUUUGGUUUAACCCUUUCGGGUUCGGAUUAUCGGAUUCGGGUUUUUAGAACGCAACCCGCUCCGAUACCCGUUAACGACCGCACGUGCAAUUCACGUGCACGUUUUUUUUUUUUUUUUCUUCCGGAACGGGUCCGGGCUAGUGGGGCGGGCUAACGGGUCUGAUACUUACCCGUUAGUCUGUUCCCAACCUCCCGACCGUUUCGGGAGGGUUUCCCGACUCUCGCUGCGGCGGCCGCGGAAAGGAGGGAUGGGCGGCGGCUGCGGAUCGGCCGUAGGGGACGGCGACGGAGCUCGAAGCCGCGGCUCUGUGGUCGGCGGCGACAGGUGGCGGCCGAUCACGGCGGCGGGCAGCUUCUUCCCGGAUCGGGUGGAGGGCGUCCGAGGCUGUCACAGGGCGGUGGUGGGCGGCGGCGACGACCGAGGGAUCAAGUCAGAUGGACGCGAGGGGAAUCCGGCGCAGGGACUGUGGCUGUGGCUCUUUCUUCUUUUUUUUCUUUUUUUUGCUCUGGUGAAAACACAGACCGAGAGAGAGGGGAUCGGAUGUGGGUGGCUGUCGAUCUGGGCCUUCACAGACUCGGCAGUGAUCUUCUUUUUUUUUUUUUGAACAGACUGACAGAGGAAGGGGGGGGGGCUGGUGAAAACCGAGAGAGAAAGGAAGAGAGGAAGAUAGAGAGAGAAGGAGGGGAAACACUGGACCGUGGCUUUGGCAGCAGGGGCAAAACCAGCCUUGCUCUGAUACCAA
rnacentral:lncRNA from 1 species